CUUCCAAGCUUGAAGCCAUGCCUCCUACUCGUUUAUAUGUUGCAGAUGAAUCAUGAGCUCAUCUCGGUUCAGUCUCGUGGGCAAAAGUUAUGUAAGUGUUUCAAUAUCACAAAAUGUUCGUUCCACUCCGUGUUAUUGAAAAGCUUGGGUUGUGAAGCAGCAGCUUCUUUCCUCUUACUUUGGCUCCAGAUCUAUGCAGAAUUACAGGGAUGAAAAUGGAGAGGAGCCUGAGGAAAAGAAGGUCCAGCGACAGGCCCAAAGAGGGAUCCAGCUCAAAGGGAGAUCUCAAGACCUUACACUAUCACUGAGGCUAUGGAAAGCUCAUCAAAAGAGACCUAGCAUGACCACACUCUGGAAGACUCAACAAGCAACUCAAAGAGUCAGAGGCAGAUACAAUUUUUAAAUGAUAUAUUUUUCCUAUAAAAACCUCUUCCACA
rnacentral:lncRNA from 1 species